UAGGGAAUCUUCCGCAAUGGGCGAAAGCCUGACGGAGCAACGCCGCGUGAGUGAUGAAGGUCUUCGGAUCGUAAAACUCUGUUAUUAGGGAAGAACAAAUGUGUAAGUAACUAUGCACGUCUUGACGGUACCUAAUCAGAAAGCCACGGCUAACUACGUGCCAGCAGCCGCGGUAAUACGUAGGUGGCAAGCGUUAUCCGGAAUUAUUGGGCGUAAAGCGCGCGUAGGCGGUUUUUUAAGUCUGAUGUGAAAGCCCACGGCUCAACCGUGGAGGGUCAUUGGAAACUGGAAAACUUGAGUGCAGAAGAGGAAAGUGGAAUUCCAUGUGUAGCGGUGAAAUGCGCAGAGAUAUGGAGGAACACCAGUGGCGAAGGCGACUUUCUGGUCUGUAACUGACGCUUAUGUGCGAAAGCGUGGGGAUCAAACAGG
rnacentral:rRNA from 1 species